CAAUAAAACAGUCACCUCAUUCCGCAAAAAAUGAGCCCCUUCAUAAGAAAAUCACAAAAAAAAAAAAAAAACUAUAGCUCCCAGAACAUGGAGAAAAUGCUAUUAUUAUGUUAAAGUGAAAUAAAUAAAAAAAGUAUGCAUAUUAGGUAUGGCCACAUCCGUAACAACCAGCUCUAUAAAAAUAUCACAUGACCUAACCCCUCGGGUGAACACUGUAAAAAUAAAAAAACUGACAAAAAAAGCCAUUUUUGUUACCUUACAUCACAAAAAGUGCAACACCAAGUGAUCAAAAAGAUGCUCCAGACCGGGUCAGUAAUAUAUGUGAUUUAAUGUGACUUUUCCUUUUAGCAGUCUCGCAUUGUAGGGGUGCACAGGAACAACACCGUACUGCACGGUUCUAGUGCUGUGCGGUGAAUUGUAUGGUGUAUGCACGGUUGCUAUAUGAGCCCCACAGUUUUGCUGCUGCUAAUUGUCUGUAUAAUAGUCCCUUGUGGUCUGGAUACACUUCUGUGUUCCCAUGGUUGCUGCUUUAUGUAUUUUUAAGCAUAUAAUUAAUGUAUUGUAUAUGUAUGUCCAAUAAAGGAUUAAUUGAUAAUAUUUACUUGUGUGGUAGCUUUCUGAGCGUUAUAGGUGAUAUACGAAUAACUCCAUGCAAGAUAUUUAUGGUAUUUAUUUUUUGGUGUUUUACGAAUUUUGCCUCUUUUAUUACAGAAGAUCGUACAAUGGAUUUCAGAUUAUGUGAUCAAACUUGGAAGACCCAAGUGGAAGCAGUUUUCUCUGGGAACGCUGGAGUUGGCGAUGAUCCUGGUCAAAUAAGCAUUAGGGAAUCUAAGAUAUGUUUCAGAAAUUUGCAACACAAGAGACUUGGUGGAACAAGGCCACUCUGGAACAAUAUAUCCCCAGGGGCCUUAGAGUUCAAAUCUUUCCCUCCUUUGGUAGAGAAGAGAGUGAGGUGGGAGGCGGCGUGUAAUACAUGCUCUAGUACCCUCAUGCAGUUGAUAAUUGAGUUGAAUAUAAAGGCACUUGGUACAGUAGAAAAAGAGAUUGAUGAAAUGGAGAGACAUCUAAUCCAGAAUCUAUCUGCGACCGAAUGGGAGGCAUAGAAGAAAGAACUGGAUGCGUCUUUUCUGACAUAGGAGAAUCAGAUUAAGACAAUUAAAACAAAAAAACUACAGAGGGAUCGCACUGAUUUUGAAAACAAUAGAGUGUACCGGUGGAAAAACACUGAGAUAAGGAGUCGCUUCAGACUAACAUCUGUAUCAUCAGUGACAUCAAGGAGUGACGACGACUCUAUGGGACCUCUGGGAUCCAGAAGAUAUCCGCGACGCUUUAUGAAACGGAAGAACGGUGAGCCCCAAAUACCGGCAGGAAAGAGGCGUCCAGACAUGACUACAAAUACCCAACAGUGAAGGACGUGCAAUUAUUUGCUCGUAAAUUGGUUUUAAAGAAACUAUUUAAACAAAGAGAAGAUCCCAAUUUUCCGACACCCAUGGAACAGGAGGCCUUAUCUACUCUUGUGGAGCUAUUGGAUGAAAAGGAGGGUGACAACCAAAUGGGCUGAAUAUUCCCGCAUGCUACGUCUGACACCUACAGUCGUUUUGGUUAUCUCCCCAGUUCCGUUCUUCAGUUGGAGACUUCAUGUGCUGUUCCAGUUCAGUUUUUCGUGGGAGUUUAGUGGAUAGACCUUCAGCGUCUACAGAGGAGUGUCACCGCCAAAGAAAGAGGAGGAAUGUAUGCAAAGCAGGACUAUUAUAGGGGUGUUAUG